UCCCUGGUGGCUCAGUGGUAAGGAAUCUGCCCGCCAGUGCAGGAGACACAGGUUCAAUCCCUGAUCAGGGAA
rnacentral:tRNA from 1 species